ACAAUUUGGAUCAGGGAAUUAUGCAAGAGAGACGAACGAGCCAGCCUUGUUGGGUCCUGUCAAUCAGUAUAUAUAUUCAUCUUCUUUGUGUUUUGGGAGGUAGGGUUUAUAAAUUCAUCAUUAACCCCAAGGGAUAGAACCCGCCGCUUCCCAGUAACUCUGCACGUGGCUGUGGUUUCAUACAAUCUUACAACAGAGAUGGAUGCUAUGAAACCUGUUGCGAAACAGCUAGAGAAAGAAGACGACGACGACGACGAAGAUGAAGGAAGCAUCACGCAUCAUGAAGAUGCAGUCCUUCCGUCGAAUCAGUAAUUAACCAAAACCAAAAUAAUCUUGCUUCGUCUCUUGGUUGAGCCUCCUUUUCGGCGAUCUCCACAUUGUAGGUAUCAACUGUAACCUCCGGUGACCACAACCCAGGAAAUACCAACUCCGGAGAAGCCUUGUCGAUGUCCUUAUUCGUUAGUGUCGACAUUCUGGUGGGUGUUUCCCACUCCACCAAUCGAUGCCUUACACGCUGACCUCCUGGUUCUCAGAUUCCAUGGCCUCACCUCUUCAGCCGCUGCAGGGGAUUCUUCUCUUUCCUUCUUCCUGCUGUAUAUCUUGCUGCUGGCUCUGUCGUCGAGUUAGCAGAGAGGGUUGCCAAACAGGAGUUGGAUUCUGCUUUUGCUACCAAUAGACCUCCAGGGCAUCAUGCCGAAGAAGAUAAAGCUAUGGGAUUCUUUUUUUUUAACGAUGCGGCUAUUGCAACAUGCUUUCUGUUAAAUGAAAGACUUCUCUUCUACAAGGCCAGUAAUUCAUGAACAUAUGCAAAUGCAAUUACUUUUCACGACUAAAGUAAUAUCUAUUUGUCUGUCUGACUAUCCAACAAACAUAUCCAGAUGAUUAUAGUCCUCUUCAGUAGAAUGCCGAAUGUGCGUGUAACCCACUUUCUCAUGUUUAAUAUUGAAAAGAUCUUCUUUUUUCGUUGGAUGCUAUAUUCUCAUAUUGCGCUCAUCCAUUUAUCUUCCCAGUCUUAAAGAGUUGCAUCUGGACAAUGUCAUUUUUACUGGUGAUGAUUUGUCAGAGGAAUUAUUCUCAUAUUGUCCAGUUCUGGGAUCUGUGCAAUUGUCGAAUUGCAAUCUGUCUUUUCUAAAGGUUUUGAAUGUUUCUGCUCUGACUCAAACAUCUUCAAAUAGACUAUUGUGAUAUUCAAGUUGGAGCAUUUUACAGAGAUCAGAUGAGUACAGAUAUUCCUGGUGCACUGCGUUUAAGUUGCUUACUGAAUUCCGUAAUGUUAUUGUGCUCGCUGUGAUAAUUUGUCUUGGGAGGUAUAUGCUUUGUCCAUUUCUUAUAUAUUAUGUACAUUCACUAUUCACAAGAUAAUAAAUAUGAAGAGAGUUGAAGGUUUAGGAACCCACCAGCAUGAGAAAGUGGACGCUACGUACGUCAGUAUUAAACUGAGAAAGAUUAUAUUCAUCUGUGUAUAUUUUUUGGACGAUCAGAUCAACAGAUAAACAUUGCUAAGGUUGCGAAAAAUAAUUGCAUUUGCAUAUGUCCAUGAAUUACUGUCCUGUUAGAAGAGAAGCUGCAACACCAAGGAAUAUUGUGAGGCUACUUGUACCUUUUGAAAGGAAAGCUAAGAGGACACAGUAUCCAUCAAUCAGGAGCAAAGUAAAAACAAGUUAUUCUCAAAAAAGGAAAAAACUGCAGGCACAAUAACCUUCAUAUCUGUCCGCUUUGGAAUGGAGCUCUGAAACAAGCAUGGGUUCGAACGGCAUAGCCAUAAUAUUUAUGUUUCUUAUUUGAGAAAAAAAAAACAAAAGUUGAUGAUAGUAACAAAUCUAAGAUUAUUGAGAAGUUAUUGACAUUUUUAAGAGUUUCAACAAAAGCGAACUACUUCUCUUGUAAUUUAAUUUUAUUUGCUGAAAAGAAGUAAUAAAGAUUGUGCUAGUUAUUUUUAACA